CGACACACGGACGCAGGCCCCCCCCCCCUUCUCUCUCUCCUUCUUCUAUUUUCUUUCUUUCUUCUUUCCUCUUCUUUGUUCUUCAUUUCCCCUCCACCCGAGAGACACCAAACGGAGAGUGAGAUACUAAGACAGAGAGAGUGAGAUUGGAGAUUAGAGAGAUCCGGUGGACCCACGAGCCAAACCCGACGAACCAAGAGACCCUGUGAACGCCAGAGGCCCGAUCCUCCAUGGAUCGUCGCUGGCGAGCCAGGGGUGCGUUUUUCAGACGGAACCCACGAGCUUGGACCCAAGGACCCGAGGAGGAGAACCGAUGGUGACCCGAUCCAUGAAGACAUGAUGAACCCGAAACCCGACGGCUUGAAGGCCGAUUUCCGGCGAUUCCAUGGUAGAUUUCCGGUGACUUUUCCGGUGCCAUUCCUUUGUUUCAAACAGAAAUCCGUUAGGAUCGUGUCAUAAUUGGAGACUUCAAUGGGUUCUUCAAUGUAGAGUUGGAGUCGGGAGUCCAAUGCAGCCAGAUGAUGUCCCUUUGGCUGCAGGUACUCGGGUCGUAUUUGAUGGGGUUGUAGACGUGCAUUUGGGAUAUUAUGACCGGAGCUCGCCUCGACGGUCGUAAAUGCGGGACCAUGGGCGUCCUCAGUUUUAUAGGUUUUGUUAUGGCUUGUGACGCAUGUGUCACUCGUUAUUGUAUAAAGCCAUUUUUGUUAUGUAUUUAUAUUGAGGAAAGAUUUAAACACAUAGAUGUUAAAUGUCUCUUCUUGUUAUUAAUUUAUGAUAGAUGUUUAAGAUGUGAUUUCCGCUA